rnacentral:rRNA from 1 species
AUUGAACGCUGGCGGCAUGCUUUACACAUGCAAGUCGAACGGUAACAGGUCUUCGGAUGCUGACGAGUGGCGAACGGGUGAGUAAUACAUCGGAACGUGCCUGGUAGUGGGGGAUAACUACUCGAAAGAGUAGCUAAUACCGCAUGAGAUCUACGGAUGAAAGCAGGGGACCUUCGGGCCUUGUGCUACUAGAGCGGCUGAUGGCAGAUUAGGUAGUUGGUGGGGUAAAGGCUUACCAAGCCUGCGAUCUGUAGCUGGUCUGAGAGGACGACCAGCCACACUGGGACUGAGACACGGCCCAGACUCCUACGGGAGGCAGCAGUGGGGAAUUUUGGACAAUGGGCGAAAGCCUGAUCCAGCAAUGCCGCGUGCAGGAUGAAGGCCCUCGGGUUGUAAACUGCUUUUGUACGGAACGAAAAGCCUGGGGCUAAUAUCCCCGGGUCAUGACGGUACCGUAAGAAUAGGCACCGGCUAACUACGUGCCAGCCGCCGCGGUAACAC